rnacentral:rRNA from 1 species
CCAGCACCCCGAGUGGUCGGGACGAUUAUUGGGCCUAAAGCAUCCGUAGCCGGUUUUACAAGUCCUCCGUUAAAUCCAACUGCUUAACAGAUGGGCCGCGGAGGAUACUAUAAGACUAGGAGGCAGGAGAGGCAAGCGGUACUCAGUGGGUAGGGGUAAAAUCCGUUGAUCCAUUGAAGACCACCAGUGGCGAAGGCGGCUUGCCAGAAUGCGCUCGACGGUGAGGGAUGAAAGCUGGGGGAGCAAACCGGAUUAGAUACCCGGGUAGUCCCAGCUGUAAACGAUGCAGACUCGGUGAUGGACUAGCUUUAUGCUAGUCCAGUGCCGCAGGGAAGCCGUUAAGUCUGCCGCCUGGGUAGUACGGUCGCAAGACUG